rnacentral:rRNA from 1 species
UUCCGGUUGAUCCUGCCAGACCUGACUGCUAUCGGAUUGAUACUAAGCCAUGCGAGUCUUUGUAGUAAUACAAGGCAGACGGCUCAGUAACACGUAGUCAACCUACCCUAUGGACGAGAAUAAUCUCGGGAAACUGAGCAUAAUUCUUGAUAGAUCAUAAUGCCUGGAAUGGUUUAUGGUUAAAAUGAUUCGUCGCCAUAGGAUGGGACUGCGGCCUAUCAGCUUGUUGGUGAGGUAAUGGCCCACCAAGGCGAUUACAGGUACGGGCUCUGAGAGGAGAAGCCCGGAGAUGGGUACUGAGACACGGACCCAGGCCCUAUGGGGCGCAGCAGGCGAGAAAACUUUGCAAUGUGCGAAAGCACGACAAGGUUAAUCCGAGUGAUUUCUGCUAAAGAAAUCUUUUGCCAGUCGUAAAUCCGCUGGUGAAUAAGGGGUGGGCAAGUUCUGGUGCCAGCAGCCGCGGUAAU